UACGGGGGGGCGAAGCGUUGUUCGGAAUUACUGGGCGUAAAGGGCUUGUAGGCGGCCAACUAAGUCAGACGUGAAAUCCCUCGGCUUAACCGGGGAACUGCGUCUGAUACUGGAUGGCUAGAGAUUGGGGAGGAGUAGCGGCGAAUUCCAGGUGUAGCGGUGAAAUGCGUAGAUAUCUGGAGGAACACCGGUGGCGAAGGCGGCAUCCUGGGCCGGUAUUGACGCUGAGGAGCGAAAGCCAGGGGAGCAAACGGG
rnacentral:rRNA from 1 species